rnacentral:tRNA from 1 species
GCCUGGAUAGCUCAAUUGGUUAAGUGUCUGACUUCGGCUCAGGUCAUGAUCUCCUGGUUCGUGGGUUUGAGCCCUACUUUGGGCU